ensembl:lncRNA
CGCUGCCCUUCUUUACAGCUGAUUCUAUUUAGCAAUUAGGCCGGAGUGCUUAAGUCCAAGGAGAAAAGCAUUCCCGUACCAGAGGAACUUUUUGCUUUGCAUGCUGUUAGGUGGAUGUGUGACUGUUUAUGCUUACUCUGUGAAAAGUUUGAUCAUUUAACCUUCUCAACUUACUGUCACGGCUGCCGAGGCGAGCCGUGUGGAUUUAGAAGGAGGACCCAAGAUGCAGGCAGUGGAUGAGAUACCGGUGGUUUUAUUUACAGAGGUGUAGUGGCAAACAAACAGUGGGGCAUAACAAACAACUAAAGACACCUAAACUGGGAGAACUAAAAUAACAGACCUGGGAGCAUAUGACAACGGAUGAUGAAUAGCAGAGAGACGCAGACGAGGAACAGGACACCGUGGAACACAGGGUAACAGACUGACACGAAGGAACACAGACGAACCGGCAACAGGCAGGAGAACACACAGGGCUUAAAUACACACACCAGUAAUCAGGGGAUGAGAGACAGGAGGGCAACACAGCUGGGAGGAAUCUGGGCUGACGGGACAGGGGAAACGUAAACUGAUCACACUCACAUACGACGCGGACCUUCACAAUAAAACAGGAAACUCAGAUACAUGGAACCAGACAAGACAUUGAACUAAACAGACAGAUUCACAAACAGAUGGGGAGACACCAUAGACAGACAGAUACAGACGCAGACUCAGAGGCAGAUCGAAAAUAACACAGAACUUAAACAAUCAUCUAGAAAAUGAUAAACUAAAAGCGCUGGGUCACCGACCCAGGACCAUGACACUUACUCCAUUGUUUAGUAGCUAACUUAUGUGUUUUCUUGCUUUUGAUGGUUUUGAAAACUCUGUUUUCAGAUGUUUAUAGAAAGGGAAUGCUACACAGUAGUGAAUAUGGCCCUGUCCCAAAUUCCUUGAGACUUGUUGCUGCCAUCAAAUUCAAAAUGAGCUAAUAUUUUUCAUGAAAUUUUGGUUAGCACUGUUGCCUCACAGCUAGAAUUUCCUGACUUCAAUUCCAACAUCAGGCCGGGGUCAUUCUGUGUGGAGUUUGCAUGUUCUUCCCGUGUUUAUGAGGGUCCUCUCCGGGUAUUCCGGCUUCCUUCCACAGUCCCAAGACAUGCAGUUAGUGGGGUUAGGUUAAUUGGAAACUCAAAAUUAGGUGUGGGUGUGAAUGGUUGUCUGUGUCUAUUUGUUAGCACUGCAUCUUGCCUUAAGACAGCUGGGAUAGCCCCACCCCAAUAAAAAUAUAGGGUUAAUUUGGGGGGGGGGGGGGUCUAAUAAGCCUGUAUCUUAUUUUGAAUAAAAUAUGGGGUUAUUAGACUUACAAAUCAUUGCAUUCUGUUUUAUUUACAUUGCCUUAUAAUUAUUUUCAUUUUGCAUGAAUGCUUGUGAAUCUCCACAAUAUUUUUAUAGUGGACAAAGAUAUUACUUUUGUUAUUUCCUGAAAAUGUAUUGCUUAUGUAUUUUUAAAAUAGUCAUUAUUAGCUAGAAACAUUCAAAACGGAUGGUCCAGAUGGGCCUGGGCCCCCUUGCCCAGGUGGGUUCCAGGGUAUGGGGGUGUCUACUGGGUCAGCCGGGGAGCUGGCCCCAGGGAGGGGCCUCCCUUCCUUCCCUCCCCAUCUCCAGCUGCUUCCCUCUUCCCGCUCCACCACAAUCACCCACACAUGCAGGGCCUUGGGGUAAAGGUGUGUGGAGAUGAGGGAAAUAUUUUACUGCUACUAUUCAUAACCAUCAUCAUUUCAUCAAAGCAUUUAUUGAAGCUGUUGGCAUUAUGUUAAAACUUGUAUUACAGGUGUUAUCAUAAUCACAUAUUAACAUUUUCAUUACAGGUGCAGUUAUAAUCAUUUUAUACACACAUUGCAGGAUUGUGCUUCUAGAGAGUUGAUGUUCGGUCUAUUAAAGUUCUUAAGCUUCGCGUGGCGUGACUGUCCAGGCGAUCAAUGGUGUAAGUGACUUGGAGCAAUAGAAGGUUCAAAGCAUGCACGCUUACAAGCACACAUGAAAGUAUUGAUUCCAGGCCAAAGGCCUGAGAUACAUUUUGCUUCUAACUGCCUUUUAGCUUGCCUAGUAACAGGUGACAGAAGACAAGUCAAGAAAAGGACAAGCCCUCAGGGACCAUUUAGGCUUGCAACUUAUUGCCUUGUAUGGAAGGUGUGAUAGAAAAAGGAACUUCUUUGUCUAAUUUUAGGGGUUUAAGAUUGACCAUUUACUAUAACUGAUGCAUAUUAUGUUCAUUUGUGACGCAUGAAGGGGCGUAACCCUGAUGAAUGAAACCAUUGUGAAUAGACCUUUUCGGGGAAGAUCGAUGCUGGUGUGGCAGUAUACAUCUUCCCACGCGUGUACUCAAUAAAUCAUUGUUUGACUGAACUUUUCUGGGCCUCUGUUGGUUUGUUCCAUUGCUCAACAUUUUCGAACCCACAACAGGUAUGUCACCAGGGUGCAGGGGAGGCAUCCCCCCCUCUGUCCCCUUCUGGCUGCCUGUGCCUCAAUUUUAUCCCACAACUUAGACAUUCACAUUACUCACACUCUCAUUACACAUACAUAUAGGACCUUGGGGGUGGGCAUCCAGAAGACCAUCAGGAUGUACAACCUCACCCCUGGCGUCGUUGCCCACCUUUCAAUUUUUAAAUACACGUAUAUAUUGAGGGCUAUCAGGAGGGGCUAUGCGCUUACCUGCUGCUCUCUGGCAGGUAGCUCCAUGCCCUCCUGGGUUUUAAAUGCACCUUAGAACACACAUGCAUCAACACUACAUAUGAGCAGGUAGGCGGAGGGAGGUUUGGAGUCUUCUCACAUCCCCGUUCUCUGUUGCCUGUUGGGACGGGGAGGCUGGGAGGAGUUGACCGUUUGAUUGGGGUCUGGAAUGUGGGGCCUCCCUGCUGCUGCGGAGUCGGGGCGGUCUGCUUCUCUCCACCCCAGGGAAGAGGGUAACACUACCUGGGUCUGGGUGCAGUUUCCCCCUCUAGGGACAAGGGUACGUAGACCCAGGGCUUAGAGUACGCUUGGGGAGUGUGAUUGUGUGUACAGUGUCUAUUUAUGUCUGUCUCCACGUUGGGUGAGUGCUGAGUAAUCGCAUAUGAGAGCAUGAGGGUGGGAAUGGAUGUUUGUAUCUGUGUGUGCCUGUAUGUCUGUGUCUUUAUGUCAGGUUGGGUAUCAGACGCCAGCUCUCUAGGGACAUCUCAGGCCCUCCACGGUAUGGAGGCCUAUCUCCCCCCACCACUCCCCCUGCCAGUGGCAGACGCCCUCAGACAUCGAUGAAUUGGUGGUUCUUUGUGUCUGGGAAUGGGCGUCCAGGUACGCACGGGCUCACUCCUGGCUUGACAGGGCCUGAAGCCUGGGGCUCGCUCGGGCCCCUUCGGGGGGUGGGGUGCCCUCAGCCUCUGGGCCUGGGGCUCGGUCACUCUGGCACAGCUGGCUGCCGGCAGAGCUCACGGGCCUCAAAGCACAUAUUUAGUAUUUACUGUUAUAUUCACAUAGAUUAUCACGAUGAUGUUGUUUAUUAUAUUGCUCUUUUUUUUGUUGCUUGUUUUCUCUUUUUUCUUUCUCAACAGGUGAUCCAGGUGAUUGAUAUAUGUAUUUUUUGUCUGUUUGUUUUGUUGUUUUUUGUUUUUUGCCCUUUAUCACCGUUCCUCUUCCCUGCUGUUUUUCUUUCCCUACCUCUCUUUCUUUCUCCCUUUUAUAAAAUAAUAAUAAAAAAAGAAACAUUCAAGACAAUAAAAGUAGACAAAAUAAAUGAAAAAGGGAAAAGAAAAUCAAAACCUUCUGCACUAUAAAAGACCCACAAACACAUUUUCUAAACACUAAAACCAAAUUGUUUAUUCUGCUAACAGUUUGGUUUCUGUCUUAAGAUUUUCAGCUCUUCAGGUUUCAUAGAGGUACAAACUCUUUGUAAUUAACUUUAAUCAAUGAAAUCAAAAUGACCAAACAAUAAAGGACAACAAGGAAAAAAGUUAAAGUGGGCAUGUUUUGCAAAAUAAAAUUUAAAUUUAAAAGCAAUUGUUCUCAAAUUAUGAAAAUAUAUAUGAUAUGUAAGGUACAUUAUGGCAUAAAGAUUAAAUGUGACCUAUAUUAAGAUAACUCAAUGAUAAAGGGUGGUACACGCAGGGUAUGGCUUUGUUUUUUUGCAUAAGUUUUCUGAAAUCACACACACUUACUCUGAACCUCUUUUUUUCAUGUAAUUUAAGUCAAGUCAGAAUCUUAAACUAAGCUAUAUACAAUGGACUUACAAAGGCUGUUACCAGUGUCAUGUAAUACUAAACAGUGGUCUAUUUACAAUUUAAGAAAAAUGUUUUAAUAAAGCCUCC